rnacentral:lncRNA from 1 species
UUUUUUACAGCGUCUUACUGGGAGUCGACGACCCGCCGCCUUUGAAAACCUCCCCAAAGAAGCGUGGGUUCCUGUUCAUCAAGUGCCUGGGGCCUGAGGGUCUCAGCAGCUCCUCCUGCAUGAGAGGUGGAAGUACCACCAAAAUCCUGCUGGAAACCCUGUUACUGGCAGCCCAUAAGACGGUGGAGCAGGGCAUUGCAGCAUCUCCAAGAUGCCUUCUGGAAAUCCUGCGGACAUUUGAGCGGGCUCAUAAGGUGACCUACAGUCAAAGCUCCAAGAUCACCCUGAUGAAGCAAGUCAGCACCAGGUACCCAGAGGUGCAGUGGGAGGGGGCGCCCAAGGGCAGAGGAGACUGAGAAGUUUAACAUUGGCGGGAACAAUGGGUCUCUGCACUGGCUUCUCUGUUGACCCCUGUGUUCUUCUGUAUGCAUCUCUGGCUUCUUUUUCAUGGUGACCUCUUAUGUCCUGACCUCUGACUGGUCCUCAGCCUGGAGAAGAGAGGCCGAGAGCACUUGGUUAGCUGGCAGAACCUGAGCCUCAUUGCCAUCAUGGAUGGGGUGGAGUGCAUCCAUACCUUUGGUGCUGGUGGGACCCCAGUCCACACAUUUUUCCUCACCCCACCUGACCCAGCCAACUAGUCUACUAUCCAAACCCUGCCAACUAUUGGAGAGACCUAAAUGUCGGUUCUGCCCUACUGAAUAGGCAUUUCAGUCACAUGCUUCUUCCUUUGGGUCCCAACUCCGUCCUCCAUCCAGCUAUGGUGUCUCACAUGGGUUACCCCUCACCUCACAUCCACUUUCUGUUUCCCUCCCAGCCCCACUGGCAGCCUCCAAAGCCUGGAACUUUCCUUUCCUACAAGGCCCAUCAUUCUCUUUCCCUGUCUUUAAACUUCCCAGAUUUCCGAGACAUCUGUGGCUUUCUCAUUGGGGAUCACAGUGACAUGUUUAACCAGAAGGAUGAGCUCACCAAUCAGGGUCCACAGUUCACCUUCUCCCAGGAAAACUUCCUGACUUCCAUCCUGCCCUCCCUCAUGGAAACUGACACUGUUAUCUUCAUUUUCACCCUGGAUGGUGAGAGGGAAGAUGGGAAGGGGUGGUGUGGGGAGCCGGAAGCAGUAGAGCCACUCAGAAAAGCUGCCAUUUUUCUGGGUCUUGGGACAGGGGGUCAGAGGGAGGCACAGGUGAGAGUAUUGAUCCAGGGUGGCAGGAAGGACAUCUGCCCAGCCCACCUUUCCACUCCACCUGUCCCUCAGAUAACCUUGUGGAAGUGCAGACACUGGUGGAGCAGGUGA